rnacentral:rRNA from 1 species
AUACGUAGGGAGCGAGCGUUGUCCGGAAUGAUUGGGCGUAAAGGGCGCGUAGGCGGCGCGGUAAGUCUGGAGUGAAAGUCCUGCUUUCGAGGUGGGAAUUGCUUUGGAUACUGCCGCGCUUGAGUGCAGGAGAGGUUAUCGGAAUUCCCGGUGUAGCGGUGAAAUGCGUAGAGAUCGGGAGGAACACCAGUGGCGAAGGCGGGUAACUGGACUGCAACUGACGCUGAGGCGCGAAAGUGUGGGGAGCAAACAGGAUUAGAUACCCUGGUAGUCCACACUGUAAACGAUGAAUGCUAGGUGUAAGAGGUAUCGACACCUUUUGUGCCGGAGUCAACACAAUAAGCAUUCCGCCUGGGGAGUACGGCCGCAAGGUUGAAACUCAAAUGAAUGGACGGGG